CACAGGUGAAAUCCCAGAAUCAUCUACAGUUUCCCAGCAUCCUGGAGAGACACCUGAAGAAUCAGUGGACGAGAUCAUCCAGGGGGAUGACAGGGGUGGCAUGUCAGAGGAAUGCAUGGCAGUUACAGAGAAUUCCAAUGUGAGAUCUUCAAGCUCAACCCAGCAGGACAACGAGAAUAGCACCGAAGAAUCAGUGGACGAGAUCAACCAGGGGGAUGAAACGGGUGGCAUGUCCAAAGAAUGCGCAGUUACAGAGGUGUGAACAGUUUUGCUUUCCUGUUGAUCCAUAUAUGUGAUAUGUGCAACGUGAUGUAAGCAACAACAUUGACAAGAGGAGGUUGAAAUACAGUAUAUUCUGUACAUUCAAUAAAGUAAUUUUGUGAAAUUGGGACAUUUUAGCAUUCCAAUGUGAGAUCUUCAAGCUCAAACCAACAGGACAACGAGAAUAGCGCUGGACCAGUGGACCAGAGCAACAAGGGGCAUGAAACAGGUGCCAAUUCUAACGAUAGCGCAGCAGCUCCAGAG